CCCUCACACCUGAGAGAGCUGGAUCUGAGCUACAAUCACCCAGGAGACUCAGGAGUGAAGCUGCUCUCUGCUGUACUGGAGGAUCCCAGCUGUAAACUGGAGAAGCUGAAUGUGGAUCACGGUGGAGAGUGCAGGACCAGACCAGGCUUACAGAAAUACUUCUGCCAGCUGACGCUGGACCCCAACACAGCACACAGACGUCUGUCUCUGUCAGAGGGGAACAGGAAGGUGACACAUGAGUGGGGGGCUGAGGAGCAGCCAUAUCCUGAUCAUCCAGAGAGAUCUGACUGGUGGGACCAAGUUCUGUGCAGAGAGAGUCUGACUGGCCGCUGUUACUGGGAGGCUGAGUGGGAUGGAGUUGUAGCCUGGAUAGGAGUGACUUAUAAAGGGAUCGAGAGGAAAG